rnacentral:rRNA from 1 species
UACGGGAGGCAGCAGUGGGGAAUAUUGCACAAUGGGCGCAAGCCUGAUGCAGCCAUGCCGCGUGUAUGAAGAAGGCCUUCGGGUUGUAAAGUACUUUCAGUCGUGAGGAAGGUGUUAAGGUUAAUAACCUUAGCAAUUGACGUUAGCGACAGAAGAAGCAUCGGCUAACUCCGUGCCAGCAGCCGCGGUAAUACGGAGGGUGCGAGCGUUAAUCGGAAUUACUGGGCGUAAAGGGCACGCAGGCGGUUAAUUAAGUUGGAUGUGAAUCCCCGGGCUUAACCUGGGAAUGGCAUUCAAGACUGGUUAGCUAGAGUCUUGUAGAGGGGGUAGAAUUCCAUGUGUAGCGGUGAAAUGCGUAGAGAUGUGGAGGAAUACCGGUGGCGAAGGCGGCCCCUGGGACAAAGACUGACGCUCAUGUGCGAAAGCGUGGGGAGCAAACAGGAUUAGAUACC